rnacentral:rRNA from 1 species
CGAACGCGUUGGCCAAUUGAUUGACGGUGCUUGCACCUGAUCGAUUUUGGUCGCCAACGAGUGGCGGACGGGUGAGUAACACGUAGGUAACCUGCCCAGAAGCGGGGGACAACAUUUGGAAACAGAUGCUAAUACCGCAUAACAACGUUGUUCGCAUGAACAACGCUUAAAAGAUGGCUUCUCGCUAUCACUUCUGGAUGGACCUGCGGUGCAUUAGCUUGUUGGUGGGGUAACGGCCUACCAAGGCGAUGAUGCAUAGCCGAGUUGAGAGACUGAUCGGCCACAAUGGGACUGAGACACGGCCCAUACUCCUACGGGAGGCAGCAGUAGGGAAUCUUCCACAAUGGGCGCAAGCCUGAUGGAGCAACACCGCGUGAGUGAAGAAGGGUUUCGGCUCGUAAAGCUCUGUUGUUAAAGAAGAACACGUAUGAGAGUAACUGUUCAUACGUUGACGGUAUUUAACCAGAAAGUCACGGCUAACUACGUGCCAGCAGCCGCGGUAAUACGUAGGUGGCAAGCGUUAUCCGGAUUUAUUGGGCGUACAGAGAGUGCAGGCGGUUUUCUAAGUCUGAUGUGAAAGCCUUCGGCUUAACCGGAGAAGUGCAUCGGAAACUGGAUAACUUGAGUGCAGAAGAGGGUAGUGGAACUCCAUGUGUAGCGCUGGAAUGCGUAGAUAUAUGGAAGAACACCAGUGGCGAAGGCGGCUACCUGGUCUGCAACUGACGCUGAGACUCGAAAGCAUGGGUAGCGAACAGGAUUAGAUACCCUGGUAGUCCAUGCCGUAAACGAUGAGUGCUA